GGCCCCGGUGUGUGUCCGUUCAGUGUGUCAGUCAGUCUUUGCGGUUGCAACGCGACGGUCGACCCGAACCAAGCCCCAGAAACAUCACAUCACCACCCAGUGCUCCACAAGGAGCAGAACGGACGGGCAACGGGACAGUGCAAAUCGAAAAACGGAACAGUGGCGGGCAAAUAUCGGGCGUAAAUUAAAUAAUAAGAGAAGAGAGGUGUCGCGUUGUCUGUUCAGCAGCGAUGAA